ACGGGUGCGUAACACGUGGGCAAUCUGCCCUUCGAUGGGGAAUAACUCCGGGAAACCGAAGCUAAUUCCGCAUAACAUUCCUUGGACUUCGGUUCGAGGAUUCAAAGCCGUAAGGCGUCGAAGGAGGAGCCCGCGCCCGAUUAGCUAGUUGGUGAGGUAACGGCUCACCAAGGCAAUGAUCGGUAGCUGGUCUGAGAGGAUGGCCAGCCACACUGGAACUGAGACACGGUCCAGACUCCUACGGGAGGCAGCAGUGGGGAAUCUUGCGCAAUGGGCGAAAGCCUGACGCAGCGACGCCGCGUGGGGGAUGAAGCAUUUCGGUGUGUAAACCCCAUUCGACUGGGACGAAUGCCUCGCAAGAGGAGUGACGGUACCAGUAGAAGAAGCCCCGGCUAACUACGUGCCAGCAGCCGCGG
rnacentral:rRNA from 1 species